GCAAGUCGAACGAGUUCUGAUUAUUGAAAGGUGCUUGCAUCUUGAUUUAAUUUUGAACGAGUGGCGGACGGGUGAGUAACACGUGGGUAACCUGCCCUUAAGUGGGGGAUAACAUUUGGAAACAGAUGCUAAUACCGCAUAAAUCCAAGAACCGCAUGGUUCUUGGCUGAAAGAUGGCGUAAGCUAUCGCUUUUGGAUGGACCCGCGGCGUAUUAGCUAGUUGGUGAGGUAACGGCUCACCAAGGCAAUGAUACGUAGCCGAACUGAGAGGUUGAUCGGCCACAUUGGGACUGAGACACGGCCCAAACUCCUACGGGAGGCAGCAGUAGGGAAUCUUCCACAAUGGACGCAAGUCUGAUGGAGCAACGCCGCGUGAGUGAAGAAGGCUUUCGGGUCGUAAAACUCUGUUGUUGGAGAAGAAUGGUCGGCAGAGUAACUGUUGUCGGCGUGACGGUAUCCAACCAGAAAGCCACGGCUAACUACGUGCCAGCAGCCGCGGUAAUACGUAGGUGGCAAGCGUUAUCCGGAUUUAUUGGGCGUAAAGCGAGCGCAGGCGGUUUUUUAAGUCUGAUGUGAAAGCCCUCGGCUUAACCGAGGAAGUGCAUCGGAAACUGGGAAACUUGAGUGCAGAAGAGGACAGUGGAACUCCAUGUGUAGCGGUGAAAUGCGUAGAUAUAUGGAAGAACACCAGUGGCGAAGGCGGCUGUCUGGUCUGUAACUGACGCUGAGGCUCGAAAGCAUGGGUAGCGAACAGGAUUAGAUACCCUGGUAGUCCAUGCCGUAAACGAUGAAUGCUAGGUGUUGGAGGGUUUCCGCCCUUCAGUGCCGCAGCUAACGCAUUAAGCAUUCCGCCUGGGGAGUACGACCGCAAGGUUGAAACUCAAAGGAAUUGACGGGGGCCCGCACAAGCGGUGGAGCAUGUGGUUUAAUUCGAAGCAACGCGAAGAACCUUACCAGGUCUUGACAUCUUUUGAUCACCUGAGAGAUCAGGUUUCCCCUUCGGGGGCAAAAUGACAGGUGGUGCAUGGUUGUCGUCAGCUCGUGUCGUGAGAUGUUGGGUUAAGUCCCGCAACGAGCGCAACCCUUAUGACUAGUUGCCAGCAUUUAGUUGGGCACUCUAGUAAGACUGCCGGUGACAAACCGGAGGAAGGUGGGGAUGACGUCAAAUCAUCAUGCCCCUUAUGACCUGGGCUACACACGUGCUACAAUGGAUGGUACAACGAGUUGCGAGACCGCGAGGUCAAGCUAAUCUCUUAAAGCCAUUCUCAGUUCGGACUGUAGGCUGCAACUCGCCUACACGAAGUCGGAAUCGCUAGUAAUCGCGGAUCAGCACGCCGCGGUGAAUACGUUCCCGGGCCUUGUACACACCGCCCGUCACACCAUGAGAGUUUGUAACACCCGAAGCCGGUGGCGUAACCCUUUUAGGGAGCGAGCCGUCUAAGGUGGGACAAAUGAUUAGG
rnacentral:rRNA from 1 species